UCCCAGGAAGCUAGAUAGUUAGUUUUUGCUUUCUAGGUGGUUCUGGGAGGGAAACCAGUUGGGGGAACCAUUAUUAAUAGAAGUCAGUGUUUUGUGUUCUUCUCUUCUUUGCUAAGGUUGAUCUAUGAUAAUUUCCAGCUAAUACCUAGAUACCUGUGGGAAAGCUAAGUAAGGAGAAUCCUGGGCCAGUAAGGAGCCUUUAAGAUUUUAAUCUUGAAGCCAGUCUCAAGGUGAUCAGAGCAAAGAGACAGCUGCCCUUGCCAGGUGAAGAUUGAUCUGAAGUGGAAGCACAUCCAGAACAAAAAGUCACUGGUGGCAAGAGAGAAGACAAGGAAGAGGAAUCCUUGAGAAAAAUGAAAAGAGGUUUACAGUCACAGGAUUCCAGUGAUUGUGUGAUUUUGGGAAAAUCACUUAGCUUCUCUGUAAUUCAGUUUUCACUCUGUACAAUAAGGGUUUGGACUAGAUCACGGAUGGCCACUAGAUCUCAACUAUGUAUCAAUACUGAUCAACUGAUUGAUUGGAAAACUGUGUUGAGAAGGAUUCUGUAGCUCUGUCUGCACUCUUGUUCAUCUGAAGAAUCAUCUAGAAUAAUUGAUAGACUAUACACAGGUAAGAACCUAAUUUAAACUGCACAAAGCUGUUGCAGUUCAUUGGAAAACUGAGGGGUUUGGGAGAAAGGGAAGCAUGAUCUUCCUCCUUGAGAAAGAAGGAAGCUUCUGGGAGGACUUCAGUUUGGAGAAAAUCUCUUCAUCUGGGCACCUCAGUCUCAAGCAAACUCCAGACCUGUCUUGAUCCUGUAAGUAAUGGGGCUGAAGGCCACCAACACAAUCUAAUUAUGACCCUUCCCACCCAAAAAGGGUACUCUUAUACAGGGAGGUUUGAACGUUCUUAGGAGCAGAUUUCUUUUUUUAAAUUUUUAAAAAGGAUUUUAUUUAUUUAUUUGAGAGAGAGAGAGAAAGAGUGAGAAAGAACAUAAGCAGGAAGAGGGAGAGGGAGAAGCAGACUCUCUUCUGAGCAGGGAACCCAAAGCGGGGCUUGAUCCCAGGACCCUGGGAUCAUGACCUGAACUGAAGGCAGAUGCUUAACCAACUAUACCAUCCAGGUCCCCCUUAGGAGCAGAUUUAAAGGUGUUAGAAGCUAAAGCUGAUGGAAACGUUUCAGAGGAAGCUCCAUAUUCUAACUUGUUUAAAAACUAUAAACUUGUGGAAAUGAGAACAAAAUUUAAGAGGUCGCCUAAGUAAAAGUUUUCAUGGAAAAAAAAGUGGUUCCCAAGCUCAAAUUAAAUGCACAAAACACUGGAAAGAGGCUUCCUCACUGCUAGACUUCUCAGAGCCUCAUAUGUAUAUUAUUAUGAAUCUCUAAGAGGGCGAUAUGGUUCACAGAUUUAUUGAACCAAAAACCAUUUUUGUCACAAGGCGUACAUUAACAUUUUUUAGGAGUCACAUUUGUGCAACAGAGCUUGCAGAGUCAUUGAUCUAAAAUAACAUCUUUAUUUCAUAGUUAAGAAAAAAGGAAGGCUCAGUGAGGGUGAGUAGCUCACCCAGCUAGUUUGUGGCAGAACCUGGAUUAAAACUCAUGAUUCCUAGUCCAAUACUUUUCUUUUGAAGAAAAAUAAUCCAUCUUUUAUUGCAUAUUUACUUUGCUAACUUCUAUGCUAAGUUUCUUGAAUAUGUGAUCACAUUAUCUUAUGAUUACAUCAUCUUACAACAAUCCUGUGAGUUAGGUAUUAUUAUUCUCAUUUACAAGUCAGGAAAUUGAGGUUUAGGAGAGUCCUCAGUCACUUAGUAAAUGAUACAGUUGGGAAUUAAAGGACUCUAAGCCUGCCCACGCAUCCCCUAUAUCAGUUGUCUUUUUCUGUUGCCCUUGGUCCAACUUGCUUAACUUUCUAUUCAAAAUAUGAUUAGGCUUUUCAUACCUGUAAUGUUGUCAUAAUUUCGGAAGGUCUUUUCUACGUGGUCCCAUUCAAGGAAAAUGCACUUUCCAGUAAAAGGCUGAGCAAUGACUACAUACUCAUCAUUCAUAUAAGAAAAAGUAUCUAUGGACAGUGAUUGAUAAGGCAGGUCUUGAGACUUUGCAAAUUCUGCAAAAAUAGGAAAUGAUGAUGAAUAACCAUGUGCUAAUGCGUCACUCUUGGCUAGAUCUCAAAUGUUCUUAAGAGAUACAUUUAUUUAAGAGUAAUAGUAAAAUGAUAAUUUUACUUUGCUUUUAAACACACAAAGUUUUAAUGCUUUAUCAAAUUUUAAAAAGUAAAAUUGGUUGGUUGGCUUUUAAAGAUAUAAAAAAUAUCAAUUUCUGCACACACAAAAAUGUAGCCCUAUUUUUAGCUUUAUGAGGUGGAAUGAUUUGGAAUAAUUACCUGUAAUAAUGCAAUCAAAAUCCUUGGGAGAGAGACUAUUGAUUUUGCGUUUUUUGUAUUCUGGGGGGCCUUCACAGUAGAUGUCUUCAACAGUUGCAUUGGUGUGGCCCAGCCAUUCUACCAGCCACUUCAGUUUACAAUCACAAUUAAAUGAAUUCCCUCUCAGGUCCCUGAAAGACAAACUUCAGUUGCUUUUGCUGUAGGAUUAUUCUACCUAAACAGGUAUGACUUCUACUUCAGCAAUUAACAUAUGGAGAAUGCCUUUACCCAGUUUUACAUCAUGCCCCAUGAUCUACCUUGAACUUGACUGACAAUUCAUUUUAGAGAGUUCCCACAGUUCAUCCUUGAAUGCCACCCAAUCAAUAGAACUUCAUAACUUAUUCCCUCUUGGAUCAAAGGUGGCUCUGUCUAGAGCUGUGCUGUCUGUAGAACUACAGUGUGAACUAUAUAUGUAAUUUAAAUUUUUCUGUAUUUCUGAAAAAAGUAACAAGAAGUAGGUGAAACUAAUUUUUAAAAUAUUUUUUAUUUAAAAUAACUUAUUUUAUUAAUUUUAAAAUAAUAUAAUUUAUUUAAUAUUUCACACAAAAUAUUAUCAUUUAGAUGUGUAGCCAAUACAAACAUUAUUAAUGAGAUAUUUUACAGUUUUAAAAAAUAUCUCAAUUUGGAUGCUAAGUUUUCAUCAGAAGUAUGUGAUCUAUAUUUAGAUUUCAUAAAAUUUAUAGUUGGAAAAAAUAGUUUCACAUGUCCAAGUUGUUCCAAACAUAAUUCUUUCAAUAAUUGAACUGAGAAUCUGUUUUUCAAUUUAAAUUUAGUUUUUUACUUAAUUUUUUAAGAAUUAAGUGAAAUCCUUUUUUUUUUUUUUUUUUAAGAAUUAAGUGAAAUCUAAAGCUUUGCUCCUUAGAUGCACCUGGAACGCUGCUUGGUAACCACAUGUGUGGCUACCAUGUUGGCCAGUGCAGGUCUAGAGGGUAGAAUAUAGUCCUUAUUGUAUCAUAUUCAAUUAAAUCAAGGGAGUUAUUUGUUUUUGUUCUUCCUCACAGAUGGAAUUCAUCCGGAUGCUAUUCCAUGGUCUACAAAUUCAAUUUUAAUAGGAAAUGGCUUUGACACAGCAGAGUUAACUCAGACGUACAGCAGCUCAUGUCUGUGAUAAACUAUACAGCAUGGAUAAUUUCAGUUUCCACAUAUGAUCCCAACUCACCAAGCUUUCUGUUUAUUUGCAUUGCUUCUGUUCAGAAAUUCCAGCUCCUUCCUAGACCCUUCUCAGUCACACAGAAUUCCUACGAUAGAUACUGCCUCAUCUUCACACAGAUGGGCCAGAGGAUGACACCCAAAUAAGCUGCAUCCUCAAGUCUGCCAUGGCGUAUCAUCUAACUUCCAAGACAUUCCCAAGACUGACUUCAUCUCCCAAGAAUAUUCUGACCCUAAAUAAUGAGUGUGAACUUCUCUGGGUGAUUGUAAACCAGAACAGAUAACCGUGGUCUGUCCGAGACCCUCUUGGAUGUGUCUUGCUUCUGGCACUCUCUUGGAAAUAAAUCAUCAUUCAGGAAUUGGGGCACUAGGCAUUGAGGCGGGGCUGGGGAAAUACCAGAAGGAACAAAGAAAGUUUUUCAUUAGCUUACUGAUUUGAAGUUAAAUACUAGGUUUAGGAGAAAAUACUUGACUCAGAUCUCAGAUUGGAGAAAAGUUGUUUUGAGUAUAUAUUCUGUAGCAAAAUACCUUAAUUGAUAAGAAACCUUUUUUUUUUUUUCAUAUAUCCUUUCAUUUGUCCCUGUAUCUACCUUAUGACCAUUUAAAUACCCUUCUAAUGUCUGGAAGGAACUUAAUGAAGCUAAAUUGCUUUUGAGAGAGUUAGGCAUAUAUUACUUGUUUUGCUUACAACAAAAUAUACAAAUUCCUUACAAAGAUCUUUCACUCUGAGGCUUAAAAGUCAAAGUUUGAAAGCUCUUUUGUUUGAAAAAGGGUCAAAAAUAAUUAAGUUCAUUCCCUUUCCUGGGGCUUAAGCCAAAUUCCUGGGGAUUAAGCCUAGAGUUGUUGUUCAGUCUAAGGAGAGAAAAGGCAAACUUGCCUCCCUUCCCCCACUUCCUGCUCCAUUUCUCUGUUGACUGACCAACCCAUGGGUGUAACCUUUCUUCUACACUCGGUCAGUUUCCCAGACUCCUUUAUGUUUUUCCUUUUGUAGCCCCAUUUCCUGGACCUCAUGAGAAAAAAGGCAUCUUGAAAUUUUACUCUGGGCCUCCUCUUCCCACCCCCUCAAAGUCGCUUAUCAGCACCUCCUCCCAUAGGACACACACUUUGCCCCAAGGAAUGCCUGGGCACUUUAUGUUCAGAAUUUCCAGUGGGAAAUACCAUAGAAGACUCAAACAUUAGUUCAAGUAAAUUUAAAAUUUAAGCCAAUUUAAAAUUUAAAUUGUAAGGCCCUAAUUAAAAUUUAAAGCCAAUUACAAAUUCUAAACAUCAAUACUAGGCUUCUUUGUUAACUACUACAAAUUAAUUAAUCAAUGAUUUCUUAGGUCCUCUUACACAUUUGUUAAAGAAUCCAGGCCUUUGAAAAUAUCUUUUGGGAGUGUCUGGAGAUUGUUGUUUGCAAGGCUCCUGGAAAAAGAAAAAAAUAAAAAAAAAAAGACUGAUGUAAACUAUAAUGAUAAACUAAAUAA